rnacentral:misc_RNA from 1 species
GAUGAAGAACGCAGUGAAAUGCGAUACGUAAUGUGAAUUGCAGAAUUCAGUGAAUCAUCGAAUCUUUGAACGCAUAUUGCGCUCUCUGGUAUUCCGGAGAGCAUGCUUGUUUGAGUAUCAGUAAACACCUCAACUUCCAUAUCUUUUUUGAAAUGGGAGUUGGACUUGAGUGAUCCCAACGCUUUUCCUCACCGAAAAGCGGCGGGUUACUUGAAAUGCAGGUGCAGCUGGACUUUUCUCUGAGCUAUAAGCAUAUCUAUUUAGUCUGCCUAAAAAACAGAUUAUUACCUUUGCUGCAGCUAACAUAAAGGAGAUUAGUUCUUGUGCUGACUGAUGCAGGAUUCACAAAGACAGGCUUCGGCCGACUUUGUAAACUCGAUCUCAAAUCAAGUAAGACUACCCGCUGAACUUAAGCAUAUCAAUAAGCGGAGGA